rnacentral:rRNA from 1 species
AUUGAACGCUGGCGGCAGGCCUAACACAUGCAAGUCGAGCGGAUGAAGGGAGCUUGCUCCUGGAUUCAGCGGCGGACGGGUGAGUAAUGCCUAGGAAUCUGCCUGGUAUUGGGGUAUAACGUCCGGAAACGGGCGCUAAUACCGCAUACGUCCUGAGGGAGAAAGUGGGGGAUCUUCGGACCUCACGCUAUCAGAUGGGCCUAGGUCGGAUUAGCUAGUUGGUGGGGUAAAGGCCUACCAAGGCGACGAUCCGUAACUGGGCUGAGAGGAUGAUUAGUCACACUGGAACUGAGACACGGUCCAGACUCCUACGGGAGGCAGCAGUGGGGAAUAUUGGACAAUGGGCGAAAGCCUGAUCCAGCCAGGCCGCGUGUGUGAAGAAGGUCUUCGGAUUGUAAAGCACUUUAAGUUGGGAGGGAGGGCAGUAAGUUAAUACCUUGCUGUUUUGACGUUACCAACAGAAUAAGCACCGGCUAACUUCGUG